UGUUAAGUGGGCCAAAGUUGUUCUCAGAUAGGUUCCUAUAUUGAACAACAAGAUGGCCAAACUAUUGAAGGUUUCCAGAGUGUGGUUUAUAUUUGUGCCUUUUCAUUAUUAUCAUAUACCAAAAUUUCCUUCUUGUUUUUGUCAGUUCCUCUUAUAUGAUACGCUGUCUUCAAAUUUGUAGUUUCUAUAAUUAUAAACUUUAUUGAGUACAUUGUGUAGCCAAGACACUGAAAAGAUUAGAGGAGAAGAUUUAGGGACGGGUUUUGAGCCAUUUGUUAUAUCUGAUGUGUAUAGUAGAGAAGACUGUUCAAAGACGAGUUGCUUUGGCUCUUACCAACCAUUGUUCUGCAGAGGAUCAGAGAACAAUAUUCAUUGAUAACAAUGGAUUAGAGUUACUACUUGGUCUUCUUGGUUCCACAAACCUAAAGCAGCAACUUGAUGGUUCUAUAGCCUUGUACAAGUUGGCUAACAAAGCCACGACUCUUUCUCCCAUUGAUGCGGCUCCUCCAUCUUGACGCCACAGGUGUGU